rnacentral:rRNA from 1 species
AUACGGAGGAUCCGAGCGUUAUCCGGAUUUAUUGGGUUUAAAGGGAGCGUAGAUGGGUUGUUAAGUCAGUUGUGAAAGUUUGCGGCUCAACCGUAAAAUUGCAAUUGAUACUGGCAGCCUUGAGUACAGUUGAGGUAGGCGGAAUUCGUGGUGUAGCGGUGAAAUGCUUAGAUAUCACGAAGAACUCCGCUUGCGAAGGCAGCCUACUAAACUGCCACUGACAUUGAUGCUCGAAAGUGUGGGUAUCAAACAGGAUUAGAUACCAUGGUAGUCCACACGGUAAACGAUGAAUACUCGCUGUUUGCGAUAUACUGCAAGCGGCCAAGCGAAAGCGUUAAGUAUUCCACCUGGGGAGUACGCCGGCAACGGUGAAACUCAAAUGAAUUGACGGGG